UAAAAGCAUGUGCCAUACACCCGGCUUCACAGAUGCACUUCUUGAGUGCCAAGGCAGUGUGACCAGAGGCCUCAAGCUCUUGGUCCCUGUCAUGAUGGACUACAUCCCUCCAACUGUACAAAGACUGAGGCAGAGUUUUGCAGUCUUGGGAAAAACUCAGAUAUUCUGAUGCCAGAAUUCACACUCUGCCCACCAUACAACGCUGCCAGCAUUCGUAAGCAGUGCCAGUAACUCUCGUGACAAUGCAAAGAUAUUCCUCAUCACACGUUUACAGAAGAAAGCCCAAAAAAUCCAACCAUUUACCAAAACAGACUGCUGAAAUACUGGUCAUGAGGACACCUCUUAGUCAGCCAGAACAGCCCCAUCCUAUCCACGGACCUUUGUCACUCAGCAUCUGACAAGUCACUCUGCAAUGUGGGGACAAGUACAAGCUAAACCCCUCCCUCCCGGGUUUCAGGAAGUCGGUGCGUUACAGCAAUCGCUGUAUUUAAUCUUUCUCUCCUCGCGGUCAUUUGACACGUGCGACACGUGCACUUGCAGCGUGAAGUUGACGUCUUUCAUCUCUUGCUUCCCUGAAGUUAAGCCGCAGAUACUGGGCGGGAGAAAGGCCUUUGGGACAUUUACCGAAAUAGAAAAAUAAAAAGUGUUUUUUUUUUUUUGA